UAUUAUCCUGUUUAAAAGAAAGUUUAAACACGGAUCUGCGGUAUAAAAGGCGCAUCUAGACUUCGUCGAGUUCAACGAAUCGUAACAAAACAAAAUGAAAAAAAGGCCCACGUGCUCAAAUAUCAUACAAAAACGUUGCACUCACUCCGUGACGAACGAUGCGAGACUUCCAGCUACGACAGAAAACAAAGGAAUCCCAACAGCUCCGUACAGCAUGCAGAACACGCGGCCCUUGAUGGUCAACGGUGCUAUGUUACCAUACCCUACAUAUACAAGAUAGGAAAUGUAAAUAAAAUUGUUCAGAGU